GUUUGCGAUAAAACUUUGUUAAUCAAUAAGGGGGAGUGCAAUAUAAUUAUGACUAACACAAACGGCUCAAAAGGACUAAUUGUCAAAGCCCAAGACGUAUUCCAAAUCGAAAUUUACGAUAACGAGACACAAUUCAAAAAAUAUUUUGUCCCCGAUAUAUUUACUUCGGAAGAUCUUUUUCCUUUAAAAUUUCCAGCUGAAUUUCUU